AGGCUUAAAGAGCAGGCGGGGCAGAGACCCAUACCUUUGGCGCUGAGUCGAGGCCAGGAAGGGGCGGUCGAUGAGAGGGCGGCCUUAGCAUUAGGAGUGCGUCGGCUGCACCCUGGCGGAUGGACCUUGGGAAGGAGGGGAGGGGACCAUCGGGGUCGGCGGGGAGCUACGGGUUCCCCUCUUCCAAGACGGGUGCCAAGUGAUGAGUAUCAGGUGUCUAUGGUGAGAUUUGGGGAGGAUCCCAGACCUUAACAGCCCUUUGGUUGAAACCUCUCACAAUGUGGCAGGUAAGAUGUCUUUAUUCCCAUUUUGUAGAUGUGGCAGCUGAGCCUCAGAAGUUAC
rnacentral:lncRNA from 10 species